UGUACUGUCAAAGAGUUUCUACAGAGUCUGUCAACUCCGUGGCCAUCCUCAGGAUUCUUCUCACUGUGAAGACCGCUCCAUGCCUCUCUGGGCAUAUCCGAAAAGCGAGGUCUCAACACACCCUGUUCCUAUCCUACCAUUUGCAUGCCCAAUAUCAGUGUUCCACUCUGAAGGAAUGAGAAACAUUUAAUUAACUAAUGAAGUGGGUAAUGGGUACCUCAGCAGUAGAGACUUUCUGCA
rnacentral:lncRNA from 1 species